rnacentral:rRNA from 1 species
AGAAGGUCGGUGGUGAAGACGGCGUCUCGGACGUACACUGACUGAUGAGGCGCGAGAGCAUGCGUGAGCGAGCAAGCAUUAGAUACAUACGGUAGUCCUCGCACGUAAACGAUGGGCAGAUAGGUGUGGGGAUCGUGAUGAUGUGUUCACUGGAGCAGACGCAGUAAGUGGCAUCGCCUGGGGAGGACGGUCGCAAGGCUGAUACUCAUCGGAAUAGACGGGGGGCGGCACAAGCGGUGGAGCAUCUGGUUUAAUUAUUCGCAACGCGCAGAACCUUACCUGGGUUCGUCAUGACCGCGUGAGAGGUCCAGAGAUGGUGCUCUUGUGUGAGCUGGUCUCAGAUGGUUCAUGGAUGUCGUUAGUUAGUGUCGUUAGAUAGUGGGUUAAGUCCCUCAACGAGCGCAACCCUCCCCCGUAGUUACCAGCAGGUGAGGAUGGGGACUCUACGGGGAGACUCGGUGUGAAGCCGGAGGAAGGUGGGGAUGACGUCAAGUCCUCAUGGCCCUGACGCCCAGGGGUACACACAUGCUACAAAGGGGUGGACACAGGGAGGAGACCCUCCGAGGGGGAGAGAAUCCCUAAACCGGUUACUAGUUUUGAUUGGAGUCUGCAACUCGACUCCAUGAAGGUGGAAUCGCUAGUAAUCGCGGAUCACCACACCGCGGGGAAUAUGUUCCCGGGCCCUGUACACACCCCCCGUCACACCACGAAAGUUGGGUGUACCCGAAGUGGCCGGGCCAACACCCGAGGGGGGCAGGCGCCCAAGGUAAGACCAGCGAUUGGGGUGAAGUCGUAACAAGGUAACCAAGGGCGAA